UUUCCGUAGGUGAACCUGCGGAAGGAUCAUUAUUGAAUAUGCUUGAUAGGUUGUAGCUGGCUCUUCGGAGUAUGUGCACGCUUAUCUUGACUUAAUUCAUCCACCUGUGCACCUUUUGUAGUCUUGGGGGUUGAGAUCGGUCGACUAUCGGAUGGCCAAGGUCAUUCCGGAUGUGAGGAAUGCUGAGUGCGAAAGCAUACAGCUCUUCUCAAAUGACUUGUCUUCCUCGAGUACUAUGUAUUCAUAUACCGCAUAGUAUGUUGUAGAAUGUGAUCAAUGGGUCUAUGUACCUAUAAUAAUUAUAUACAACUUUCAGCAACGGAUCUCUUGGCUCUC
rnacentral:misc_RNA from 1 species